UACAGAGGUCCCGAGCGUUGUUCGGAUUCAUUGGGCGUAAAGGGUGCGUAGGCGGCUUCCUAAGUUUGAUGUGAAAUCCUGGGGCUCAACCCUGGAACUGCAUUGAAUACUGGGAGGCUAGAGUACUGGAGAGGAAACUGGAAUUUACGGUGUAGCAGUGAAAUGCGUAGAGAUCGUAAGGAAGACCAGUGGCGAAGGCGGGUCUCUGGACAGUUCCUGACGCUGAGGCACGAAGGUCAGGGGAGCAAACGGG
rnacentral:rRNA from 1 species